rnacentral:rRNA from 1 species
GUGAGGAAUAUUGGACAAUGGGCGCAAGCCUGAUCCAGCCAUGCCGCGUGCAGGAAGACGCAUCUAUGGUGUGUAAACUGCUUUUGUACGGGAAGAAACACUCCCUCGUGAGGGAGCUUGACGGUACCGUAAGAAUAAGGAUCGGCUAACUCCGUGCCAGCAGCCGCGGUAAUACGGAGGAUCCAAGCGUUAUCCGGAAUCAUUGGGUUUAAAGGGUCCGUAGGCGGUUUAAUAAGUCAGUGGUGAAAGCCCAUCGCUCAACGAUGGAACGGCCAUUGAUACUGUUAGACUUGAAUUACAAGGAAGUAACUAGAAUAUGUAGUGUAGCGGUGAAAUGCUUAGAUAUUACAUGGAAUACCAAUUGCGAAGGAAGGUUACUACUUGUGGAUUGACGCUGAUGGACGAAAGCGUGGGGAGCGAACAGGAUUAGAUACCCUAGUAGUCC